rnacentral:misc_RNA from 1 species
CAAAGGGGCAAGUUGCAGGUCUGAGAUAUUUUGAGUCUCUAGGACUUUCAAAAAAGUUGUUUGGAAUUGUUGAGCUAAGAAGGGAAAAUUUUGAAACAAACGUUUGGCAGUAACAUUUUGAUAUCCUUGAGAGGAAAGAUAAUCUUGGAAAAGCCAAGGGAUUUUAUUAAGAGUAAAAGGUUCUAUGGAAGGAGGCUAUACACCGCUCGAUGUGGUAGUUGGGUUCAUUGAGGGAAUCAAUAAAGCAUUAAAAAGGUUAAUUGGCACAGAAACAGAAGAAAUCAUCGGCGAUUCUGAUAUGGAUUCAAGGAUGCGAGAAGUUAAAGAAAGAGUGUGAAACGGUGUGAAGCAAGAACAGGGGGUUAAUGACCAAUUUAAUGGAACGAUGCAUAUUGGAACUAUGGAUAAUAAAGAAGGAGGAAACGACGACAUCACGGGAAGGCUGGAGAUUUAGCUAAGAGCACAACAGAUUCUUGGAGAGCAGUUGAAGAUAUUGGAACAGAUGUACGCGUGACCCAUCUGAGCUGGAUUUCUGUUACUAGUUUGUUAGUAUACUUAGAGAAUUAUAAAUACAGAUUGUAUUAGAAGAUUCUGAUGUGGAAUCAGUUAAUCUCAAGUUCUUCUUCCUGUAAUUCUUUUUCUCUCUCUUCUGUAACUUCUCUCUCUACUGUAAUUCUUCUUCUGUACACUUUCUCUAUAAUUCUUGUUCAUAUGCAAUAAAAAUCUCUGGUUCAUAACAGAUUUACCUUCAAAGGUAAGUUCUCCUUCCGAUAUUGGCUUGGUCUUGUUUGGGCUUGGGGUUACGGUGAAUGUUUCUUGUUGUGGUGUUUGAUGGAUUUGGAUAUGGGGUUUGU